rnacentral:lncRNA from 1 species
CAGACCCAAGUGACCACCUGGUAAUUACUUCAACAGCAGAGCGACUCAUACAGCCGGCAGUCCACUUUGUUCUUCUAUAGAUCCUGCCUGUGGUGUUGGAUCUAACAGCUUCUUCCCUGACCCAAGAUUAUGAAGGAUUUCUCCUGUGUUCUCUUCUAAAAAUUUUACAUUUAGGUCCUGGGCUUUCUCUGCUAGAAGAGGCUGAAUUCCUGGAGUACCUAGAGUACAGAGCUGGUGAAUGACCUCUUAUCUCCCUGCUCUAGCCUGUCCUAUGUAACUUGGUCCCAGCCACCUCUCCUGUGGACUUUUCCUUCUUCUGAGCUUUUCCAGAUGCUGG